rnacentral:rRNA from 1 species
UAAACUAGGAUUAGAUACCCUAUUAUUUUAAAUAAUUUUUUUACCAGGUUAGUAUUAGUUAUGUUCUUGAAAAUUAAAGAAGAUGGCGGUAUUUUAGUCUAUUCAGAGGAACCUGUCCUGUGAUUGAUGGUCCACGAUUUAUUUUACUUAUUUUAUAGGUUUGCAUAUCGCCGUAGGUUGAAUGUUCUUAAAGGAUUAUGAAACAUUCAAGAGGUUAUUUUUAUGAAAUUAACUCAGGUCAAGAUGUAGCUAAUAAAUAAGAAGAGAUGGGUUACAAUAAAUUUAUUUAUUACGGAUUAAUAUAUGAAAUUUAUUAUAAAGGUGGAUUUGAAGGUAAUUUUAUACAAAUUUNNNNNANGAUUAUAGCUCUAAAAUAUGUACACAUCGCCC